UACGGAGGGUGCAAGCGUUAUCCGGAUUUAUUGGGUUUAAAGGGUCCGUAGGCGGAUCUGUAAGUCAGUGGUGAAAUCUCACAGCUUAACUGUGAAACUGCCAUUGAUACUGCAGGUCUUGAGUAAAGUAGAAGUGGCUGGAAUAAGUAGUGUAGCGGUGAAAUGCAUAGAUAUUACUUAGAACACCACUUGCGAAGGCAGGUCACUAUGUUUUAACUGACGCUGAUGGACGAAAGCGUGGGGAGCGAACAGG
rnacentral:rRNA from 1 species